UACGUAGGGGACGAGCGUUGUCCGGAAUUAUUGGGCGUAAAGGGCGCGCAGGCUGUAGAUCAAGUCAGCUGUGAAAUGUCUGGGCUUAACCCGGGCAUGCGGUUGAAACUGAUGUACUGGAGUGCUGUAGAGGCAAGUGGAAUUCCCAGUGUAGCGGUGAAACGCGUAGAUAUUGGGAAGAACACCGGUGGCGAAGGCGACUUGCUGGGCAGCAACUGACGCUGAGGCGCGAAAGCCAGGGGAGCAAACGGGAUUAGAUA
rnacentral:rRNA from 1 species